GGGAGCUUGCUCCCGGAUGUUAGCGGCGGACGGGUGAGUAACACGUGGGUAACCUGCCUGUAAGACUGGGAUAACUCCGGGAAACCGGAGCUAAUACCGGAUAGUUCCUUGAACCGCAUGGUUAAAAGAUGAAAGACGGUUUCGGCUGUCACUUAAAGAGGGACCCGCGGCCCAUUAGCUAGUUGGUGGGGUAAUGGCUCACCAAGGCGACGAUGCGUAGCCCACCUGAGAGAGUGAUCGGCCACACUGGGACUGAGACACGGCCCAGACUUCCUACGGGAGGCAGCAGUAGGGAAUCUUCCGCAAUGGACGAAAGUCUGACGGAGCAACGCCGCGUGAGUGAUGAAGGUUUUCGGAUCGUAAAGCUCUGUUGUUAGGGAAGAACAAGUGCGAGAGUAACUGCUCGCACCUUGACGGUACCUAACCAGAAAGCCACGGCUAACUACGUGCCAGCAGCCGCGGUAAUACGUAGGUGGCAAGCGUUGUCCGGAAUUAUUGGGCGUAAAGGGCUCGCAGGCGGUUUCUUAAGUCUGAUGUGAAAGCCCCCGGCUCAACCGGGGAGGGUCAUUGGAAACUGGGAAACUUGAGUGCAGAAGAGGAGAGUGGAAUUCCACGUGUAGCGGUGAAAUGCGUAGAGAUGUGGAGGAACACCAGUGGCGAAGGCGACUCUCUGGUCUGUAACUGACGCUGAGGAGCGAAAGCGUGGGGAGCGAACAGGAUUAGAUACCCUGGUAGUCCACGCCGUAAACGAUGAGUGCUAAGUGUUAGGGGGUUUCCGCCCCUUAGUGCUGCAGCUAACGCAUUAAGCACUCCGCCUGGGGAGUACGGUCGCAAGACUGAAACUCAAAGGAAUUGACGGGGGCCCGCACAAGCGGUGGAGCAUGUGGUUUAAUUCGAAGCAACGCGAAGAACCUUACCAGGUCUUGACAUCCUCUGACAACCCUAGAGAUAGGGCUUUCCCUUCGGGGACAGAGUGACAGGUGGUGCAUGGUUGUCGUCAGCUCGUGUCGUGAGAUGUUGGGUUAAGUCCCGCAACGAGCGCAACCCUUGAUCUUAGUUGCCAGCAUUCAGUUGGGCACUCUAAGGUGACUGCCGGUGACAAACCGGAGGAAGGUGGGGAUGACGUCAAAUCAUCAUGCCCCUUAUGACCUGGGCUACACACGUGCUACAAUGGACAGAACAAAGGGCUGCAAGACCGCAAGGUUUAGCCAAUCCCAUAAAUCUGUUCUCAGUUCGGAUCGCAGUCUGCAACUCGACUGCGUGAAGCUGGAAUCGCUAGUAAUCGCGGAUCAGCAUGCCGCGGUGAAUACGUUCCCGGGCCUUGUACACACCGCCCGUCACACCACGAGAGUUUGCAACACCCGAAGUCGGUGAGGUAACCUUU
rnacentral:rRNA from 1 species